rnacentral:lncRNA from 1 species
CGCUUGCAGGGUUUGGAUGCACUCCCUGCCUUCUCACCUUGCACCCAGCAGCCUUGGAAUGUGAGGAAACAGAGAUGACGAGACCGGCUGAGGUCACCUGGCAAACCGGUGGCUGACCCAGGAUGAUAAGAUGACAGGGAUGCCAGAUGGGGACAUUGAGGCAGAGAGAAGCAAAAGGCUUUUGGAAGGUCACACAGCAAGUCAGUGGCAAAGCUAGAAGUCAAGCCCAGAGGAUUUCACUCUACACUUGUCAAAAGCCACAGGCUAGGCCAAUGUGGGCAGAGGGGCAAGGCUGCUGGAACCUCUGAGAUGGCUGGCGCAGCCCCUCCUUGCCGGCCCGGGGUGGCCACAAAUGCAAGAACCGGGAAGGGCCCUCUUGGCACCUGACCCUCACCUGGCACUGUCAGCCCUUGACCACUUCCCCGGUGGGUAGGCAUGCCACCUGUGUCUGCACCCUCCAGCGACCAGGGGCUCAGCUGUUCCCCUGGAUGCCUGUGCUCUCCCUGCUCUGCCCUGCCUGAGCGGAAUCUCCUCCUGCCCUUUGAAUCCACCCCGCAGUGGGAUCUGGCAUCACCCUGUGGACCUCCAGACCUGCCUGUUCCCCAGCUCUGGGACAGCACAUGUGACUCCUUAAGUCUUCUCGGCUGUAGCCCCUCUGACCUCUACAGAUCUAGUAACUUUUCUGAAGUCCACAAUCUGUGGCUGUGGCCCAAGGAGCUCUAAGGGCAGUUUGAGGAAUUAAAAUGAAGACAGUCCUGCAGCCACCUGUGUAUGUGUGUCAGGGCUGGCAGGGAAGCGGUGGCUUCAGGGCUCUACUUCCAUCCAGCCUCCGCCACCUUUGCCCCCACGGUGAAGGCAGCCUAGUGCACUGUUUCCAGGGUCUGGCCCUUUUAAAUUUAGCUGCGGGGAAAAAGCAGUUUGUGCAGGUCUGGAACUUGGAGACAAUCAGCAACAGGAAAAAGUCAUCCGAGGGGAGCUUUCAGUGAAUUAUGGAGGUAUUGUUCCUGCGCCCAAGGAGCCAGGGCUGCUGGUCCAAACCUCGCUGACCCAGCCCAGGCCUUUGGGGCAAAACAUUGCCUGGAGCUGCGUCAGGACAACACAAUGUGGGCCUCUGAAGGCCAAAAAAAAAAAAAAAAAAAAAGGGCCAGAGGAAGAAAAAUACUGGAAAUUCCCUGCAUCCCAGUGAUGGAAGAGCCUUUCUUGAAAAUCAACAGCAAGGGAAAGGUUGCUGCCCGCCCAGGCGGGGCCUCGGGGAGCAGGAGGAAGUCGCAAGCGAUAUUUUGAGAUAUUUUCAGUCUGGUGUGAUGCCGGUUGAUUUUCCAAAACACAAGGGCCUCAUGCUGGGAGGAGAGUUGAGGCUGGACUGAAGCUCACCAAGGGUGGGGCCGGGGUGCAGGAUGGGCCAGGACAAGAACAUAAACAGAAGCUGACCCAGUUGGAGAGCUCUGGUGCUCCAGAUGGCUGACUCCCAGGCCCCUCGCCACCCUGGGAGGCCCAGGGGGGUCUCCUGUUGACCCAAAGGCCCUUCCGGACCUCACCUAGGUAGGAAAACUGCAGAUGAAGACUGGGAUCCCCCUGCACAGAAUGCCUGCUAAGUGGCCAGGCAGAUUCUGCUUGCUCGCCUCUCCUGAUGGGGCACUCACCACCUAUUCAGCAGCUCAUCCCAUUUCUGCACAGCUCUGAGUGGGAGAAACAAUAACAAUGGUUGUGGAAGGGACACAGCAGUGAACAAAACAAACGCUCCCGUCCUCAUGGGGCUGACACUUUAGUAAAGGGACACAGUACAAAAAAUUAAUAAAAUGUAUGGUAUGCUAGAAAUUGCAAACACUGUGAGGGAGAAGAUAAAGCAAGAAAAGGGGUAGGAGGCACUUGGGAUGCAAUUCUGGAAAUAGGUAGUUAAGGAAAAAGUUCCUCCUCACUCUCAGCUGGGACCCACCUCCCUGGGAUGUCUCGUGGACCCCACUCUGCCCUCUGGGCACAGAGGUUCAUCUGCUCCCCCCUAGGCAGGGAUAGUCUUGCUCUGUUCCAAAUUGAGCAGGGCCAACUCCUCACAGGAAGGGGGCUCCAGCCCUCUCACCCUUCUCUAGGGCUCCAGAGUGAGCCCCUUUCACAGAGGUGGGAAGGACAUUGUAAACCCUCUAUCUCCAUGAAGGCAUGCGAAGGUCCCUUUUCAGCUGUUUUAGCAGCUGUAUCCCACUGUUACCUCCCACUGAACUCAUCAACCUCUGAUGUCAUGAAUGGUCAGGACAUCCCGCCUUCUCCUUCCAAGGAUAGCAUGAGCUUGCAGACCCAAGAAUAAGAAUUUGCAUUUAUUCUUAUUGUUUCAUCUUGCAGCAUUUCAUCCAUGCAGAAUUGCAGCUUGCAGAGAUCUUGUUGUGGCUUGCAAAGAUCUUUUUGGCAUAGAGGUAGACCACACAUGAGAUAGACAAAGGAUUAAUAUUCUCAACAUACAAAGAGUACCUAAAAAUUGAUAAGAAAAAUACAAAACAAAAAUAAGGAAAGACACAUAGACAAAGAAUAUGAUCAGACAACUCACAGAUGCAGAAAUGCAAAUGGCCAAUAAACAAAUGAAAAGAUGCUCAACCUCUCAGGCAGUCAUAGAAAUGCAAAUUAAAAGAAUAACGAUAUGCCAAAUGCCAUUUUUCUCCCAUCAGAUUGGGGAAAAUAUUAAAUAUUGAUGACAUCCAGUGCCAGCCAGGCGGGGGCAGUUGAGCAGUUUUGACGCGGCUGGUGGGAGUGUGAGCUGCCACAAUCUUUUGGGACACUAAUCUGUAUUGGAGUUUAAAAUGUGUAUGACCUUUGGUCCAGCACUUCCACUUUGGAGAAUUUUUUGUACAAAACCAUAUAGACACAUAAGGUGAUAUGUACAAGGAUGUUUGUUGCAAAAACAAAAGAAUGCGCUAAAUAUUGAUCGUUAAGGCAAUGAUUGAAUGAAUUAUGGGACAUUUGUUCUAUGAAAUGUUAAGCAGCUGAUAAAAAUAAGUUGAUCUGUGUGUAUGUUGUGUGUGUGUGUACAUGUGUAUGGACCUGAAAUUGUGCUUAUGAUAUAUUAUAUAAAAAACAAGAUGCAGAGUCAGGUAUAUGGUAUGAUCCUAUUUUUGUAAACAUGUUUGAAAGAGCAAAGAGUAAACUGGAAAAAAAUAUUCACUAAACUGCUAACAUCAGUUAUCCCAGAGGAAAAGAAUCACUAGCAGCAAGAUUAGUAAAUUUUUUGAUGUCAUAUCUCUUUUGUUUGGCUUUUGCAAUAGGUUUUUAUAGCUCUAAUAAUUUUGGUAACAAAUACUCUUUCUUAAAAGUUAUUUUUAAACAGUUCUUAUGGAGCUCUGACCAUCAUGUCUUCAUUAUGAGCAAAGGCAGGAGUCAGCCCAAGGACUGGGACAGAAGGUUGUCCUCUCGUUGCUGAGCUGGGGGUCCAGCUUACCAUGAACCUCCUACUCCUGGGCUUUCCAAGAGAUAUUCAAGGGCCCACCCCACUUCUCAUCUUCAUGCUAGCAGGAACUCCAUUGUUCACUGAGCCUCUUGGGUUUUCCCUGCCUCUGUUUCCCAUAUCUUCCUCUUCUGUGCCUCAUCCUACCUUCCCUGUUCUGUGACUAGUACUGCUUCCAGAAACUGCAGAAGAGACUGGGCUGGAUUUCCUAAUCUAAGUCAAAGAUUUGGAGGCGCAGAGUCUAGGCCCAGGACAACAAACAGUUUCCUUCUUGCAUGCCAGCUCUCAACAGUGGUAAAGGAGGCCAGGAGUGCUAAGCUGAAAGGGUUUCUAGGCUCCACCAACAAGAGUGCUGGGAUUGAUUAUCAAUGUCUGCUCUUGUCUAGGGACUGGUGAACAGGAACACCAAAGUUACUGCCUGGCCACACUCCAUCUCGGCAGGUGAUUCCCAGACUGGAAUAAGCACAGGAAUCACUGGGGAUCUUAGUAAGAUGCAGAUUCUGGUCCAGUUGGGCUGAGAUUCUGUAGUUCUGGUCUGAUAAGCCCUUAGGUGACAUGGAUGCUGCUGGUCUCAGGACCACCCUUUGAGGAACAAGGGGCCAAGAUCUUUGCACUCUCCAUUCCUAGCCACCUCCUCCUCUCCCUCAACUCUUCAAACAUUUGCAAACCCUCCCCAUAUGUCCAGCACUUCUUAUAUCUGUCACAUGGUUUGAUUCUUGGAACAGCCCUGGUUAUUAUCUUUGACAGAUGAGGAACUGGAAGGGAAAGAACUUGCCCAAGCUCCCCCAGCCAGCUGACAGGGGUGGAUCGAUCGCCAACCUCCCUCGCCUCCCCUUCUCCUCUCCUGGAGCCAAAAAGCAGCCAGAAAGACCCUGCUGCCACCUGAAAGCACCGUAUUCACUGCCAUAAAUAAGGCCUCCGCUGAGCCAGCUCCCUCCUCCUUUCUCAGCAACAUCUCACAGCAGGCUGGGAUGAGAGAAGCCAAGGAGGGACGGGAGGCUUAGCCGACAGCGUGAGUUAUGGGCUCGGGGAAGCCCAUUAGUCACUAAAGCAAGAGAAGUUAACUCGAGCUUAUUAACGCUAAACGUUUAUUAUUCACAUUGAUCAUGGCAGCAGACAGCACUCACCCCCACCCCCUCCCCCACAGUGCUGUGCAGCCUGUUCAGAUCGCAGGAUGGUGAUGCGGGCU